AUUGAACGCUGGCGGCAGGCCUAACACAUGCAAGUCGAACGGUAACAGGAAGCAGCUUGCUGCUUCGCUGACGAGUGGCGGACGGGUGAGUAAUGUCUGGGAAGCUGCCUGAUGGAGGGGGAUAACUACUGGAAACGGUAGCUAAUACCGCAUAAUGUCGCAAGACCAAAGAGGGGGACCUUCGGGCCUCUUGCCAUCGGAUGUGCCCAGAUGGGAUUAGCUUGUUGGUGGGGUAACGGCUCACCAAGGCGACGAUCCCUAGCUGGUCUGAGAGGAUGACCAGCCACACUGGAACUGAGACACGGUCCAGACUCCUACGGGAGGCAGCAGUGGGGAAUAUUGCACAAUGGGCGCAAGCCUGAUGCAGCCAUGCCGCGUGUAUGAAGAAGGCCUUCGGGUUGUAAAGUACUUUCAGCGGGGAGGAAGGGAGUAAAGUUAAGACCUUUGCUCAUUGACGUGACCCGCAGAAGAAGCACCGGCUAACUCCGU
rnacentral:rRNA from 1 species